UUAGCCUCAGAUGUUUGUAAACCAUUAGCCGCUCCAACAGAUGGACAAAUAAACUGCAGAGAUUCUACUACAUUUUAUCGGUGUACAGCCCAGUGUAACUCCGGCUAUGAAUUUGAUAAUGGCGACUCCACCAUACAAAAAGACUGUGACCCCAUGACUGGGCAGUUUUUUGAUGGCCCAGCUUUUCCAAAAUGUAUACCCACCUGUAGCCCAGCCUGUCAAAAUGGAGGGACCUGUGUUCAGCCCAACGUCUG